GAUGAACGCUGGCGGCGUGCCUAAUACAUGCAAGUCGAGCGAACAGACGAGGAGCUUACUCCUCUGACGUUAGCGGCGGACGGGUGAGUAACACGUGGAUAACCUACCUAUAAGACUGGGAUAACUUCGGGAAACCGGAGCUAAUACCGGAUAACAUGUUGAACCGCAUGGUUCAACAGUGAAAGACGGUCUUGCUGUCACUUAUAGAUGGAUCCGCGUCGCAUUAGCUAGUUGGUAAGGUAACGGCUUACCAAGGCAACGAUGCGUAGCCGACCUGAGAGGGUGAUCGGCCACACUGGAACUGAGACACGGUCCAGACUCCUACGGGAGGCAGCAGUAGGGAAUCUUCCGCAAAGGGCGAAAGCCUGACGGAGCAACGCCGCGUGAGUGAAGAAGGUCUUCGGAUCGUAAAACUCUGUUAUUAGGGAAGAACAAAUGUGUAAGUAACUAUGCACGUCUUGACGGUACCUAAUCAGAAAGCCACGGCUAACUACGUG
rnacentral:rRNA from 1 species